GACGAACGCUGGCGGCGUGCUUAACACAUGCAAGUCGAACGGAAAGGCCCUGCUUUUGUGGGGUGCUCGAGUGGCGAACGGGUGAGUAACACGUGAGUAACCUGCCCUUGACUUUGGGAUAACUUCAGGAAACUGGGGCUAAUACCGGAUAGGAGCUCCUGCUGCAUGGUGGGGGUUGGAAUGUUUCGGCGGUUGGGGAUGGACUCGCGGCUUAUCAGCUUGUUGGUGGGGUAGUGGCUUACCAAGGCUUUGACGGGUAGCCGGCCUGAGAGGGUGACCGGCCACAUUGGGACUGAGAUACGGCCCAGACUCCUACGGGAGGCAGCAGUGGGGAAUAUUACACAAUGGGCGGAAGCCUGAUGCAGCAACGCCGCGUGCGGGAUGACGGCCUUCGGGUUGUAAACCGCUUUCGCCUGUGACGAAGCGUGAGUGACGGUAAUGGGUAAAGAAGCACCGGCUAACUACGUG
rnacentral:rRNA from 1 species